UAGAAUUGCAGCAACUGUAUUGCUCAGUA
rnacentral:sRNA from 1 species